GACAUGGAAGGAGUGGGGGAGGCUUGGACCCCUGGACGACCCUUGGCAGCUGGGAACGGGUGGGCACAAGGACAGUGGUGACGGCUGGGCCUGGUGGGCACUGAGGGUGGCAGGAGGGACGGGAGCCAGAGGAGAAGGCACCGUCCCUUUCCUGCCUCCCCCCAGCCCAGGCUGCACCCGGCUGGCUGGGCCAGCGCCUCCUCCUCCCUCACCACUCAGAUUCCAGUGCAAUUCCCAGCUAACCAGCACGUCGAUAGAACAAGUCAGUCACACAGUGCUGGCCAAUUACAGGAAAUCAUUCCGCUCCACCGCUCAGUGCUCACCCUCGGGAGACGGAGGCUGGCAGGAGGAAGAAAGGCUGAGGCUGGGCAGAAAGGCAGAGGGACCCGAAAAUAUAAAUCAAUAUGUGACUUUAAUAUAUGAUCUUGGUGGCUGUGUGUGCUGGGGAUUAUUAGCAACCUUGAUUUCAGCUCAGUGUCCAGUCGGGGCGGGGACGCAAGGCCCCCAGGGAGGAGGAGAGAAAUUAGGAAGCCAAAUCCUCCUUUUGAUUGACACCUGGGUAAACAUUAUCCUGGCAGAAGGGGAAGAAAAAGAGAUCAAUGCUGGGUAUUUUUAUCACAUUCCAGGGAUGGACAGGGGGAGAGAUUAAAGAAGCAGUCACCUAAGGGGAUCGACCCCAAAGUGGGGCGGGGCA
ensembl:lncRNA